rnacentral:lncRNA from 1 species
AGAUCUCCUAAAGCAAGCCUCUAACUAAGUAAUCAAGAACAAUCCUCUUGAAAACUUAACUCACAAGAAAAGAAAACAAUCCUUCCUUUUCUUGACACUUAUAUCCAACAAUCCUGGAUAAUAAGCAAUACACCUAAAACCAAACAAUCCUUGGUACUUAGGAUUUUACAAAGUAAUUGUGAAUGAAUACGAAUGUUUGUAUUGGAUAAG